UAGAGUACUCGGCUUUUAACCGACGAGUU
rnacentral:tRNA from 1 species